UACGUAGGGGGGCUAGCGUUGUCCGGAAUCAUUGGGCGUAAAGCGCGUGUAGGCGGUCCGGUAAGUCCGCUGUGAAAGUCGGGGGCUCAACCCUCGGAUGCCGGUGGAUACUGUCGGGCUUGAGUACGGAAGAGGCGAGUGGAAUUCCUGGUGUAGCGGUGAAAUGCGCAGAUAUCAGGAGGAACACCAAUUGCGAAGGCAGCUCGCUGGGACGUUACUGACGCUGAGACGCGAAAGCGUGGGGAGCGAACAGG
rnacentral:rRNA from 1 species